GAUGAACGCUGGCGGCGUGCCUAACACAUGCAAGUCGAGCGAACAGACGAGGAGCUUUUUCCUCUGACGUUAGCGCCUUACGGGUGAGUAACACGUGGAUAACCUACCUAUAAGUCUGGGAUAACUUCGGGAAACCGGAGCUAUUACCGGAUAAUAUAUUGAACCGCAUGGUUCAAUAGUGAAAGACGGUUUUGCUGUAACUUAUAGAUGGAUCCGCUCCGCAUUAGCUAGUUGGUAAGGUAACGGCUUACCAAGGCGACGAUGCGUAGCCGACCUGAGAGGGUGAUCGACCACACUAGAACUGAGACACGGUCCAGACUCCUACGGGAGGCAGCAGUAGGGAAUCUUCCGCGAUGGGCGAGAGCCUGACAUAGCAACACCGAGUGAGUGAUGAAGGUCUUCGGAUGGUAAAGCUCUGUUAUUAGGGAAUAAGAAAUGUGUAAGUAACUAUGCACGUCUUGACGGUACCUAAUCAGAAAGCCACGGCUAACUACGUG
rnacentral:rRNA from 1 species